ACGGAUAUAGGUUAAUGGUAGACUUUCUGAUUUCCACUCAGCGUGUGUCAGUUCAAAUCUGACUAUCCGUA
rfam:Metarhizium majus ARSEF 297 Scaffold_95, whole genome shotgun sequence.